AGCCGUGCGCGCAUGCGCUACUUGCACGCUAUGACGUCAACCAUCGCGCGAACAUUCCCGUUUGACGUCGCCAUUGCUGAAUUGGAUCAAGAGAAUACUGGCUACUGGAAGAAGUCACUACGCAACAGAUUCAGGAAUUGCAGGAAAUGUCAUGAACGUGAUAAUCCAUUAGGACAAAUGGAAGCAAAGAAAGGGGACUACACCCAAACCAGACAAAGCUGCAGGCAAACACAUGUAUGGCAUAAAGAAAGUACCUUCCUGCAUCCCCAGAAAGUGAGGAUGAAGAAACGAUCAAUGCUCACAUCAAGAUGCUUCAGAAUGAAUCCAGAAAAACAAGACAGGACAGCUUGAUGAUAGACAAUCUACUAACUUAUGCCCAUAGGCGCAAGGGUAUCAUCAACAGCAACUGGACUGAAUCCUACUUGAAGGAUAUGUACCCUUACCUUUUCCAUGAAGAUGAGAGUUUGAGAGACUGUCAGAGGACCCAACUAAGCAGAAGUUGGAAGCAGGACAUUUGAAUAUGCUGAUCCAUUACUAGAGAUAUGCAAGACUCCCAAGCAAGGUUUGGAGCUCAAAAACCUGAUCUUGGCUGCAGCAGCAGAAAAUGAAGACACCAGGAAAAUGAUCAAAUCAUGUGGAGCACUUCUGUUGAUUCCUACUAUUUUUGGAGAGAAGGCAUUGCUUUGUCAGCAUAGCCAGGAUAAAAAACGGACCAAUCGCCAAAAUCAUCUACAAAAGUAAGCCCGACAGUGCAGGUCUGACUCUGAGCAGUGAUCAUGAAAAAUUCACGGAAAUUCUGCAAUCAUCCUAUAUUACAGCAGAGAAUGAAGUCAUCUGCGAGAAAACCACCUACCUCAUGUCAGCAGUCUCUCUGCUUAUGUCGGCCCAUUAUGUAUUCAACUGAUCAUACACCCCCAAGAUGGGUAACACCCUCACAUUCAUUCAGAAGAUUCUGAUGAACAUAGAUUCCACAUCUCAUCCAAGGUCGUAAGAAGCCUGUAUGACUUAAAUGCUGUCCGAAAUGCUGAUGCCAGUAGUUCUUCAGUUUAAUAGAAAUUAAUUACUUGGGUGAUGCUACUGCAACUCAGCUGAUCACACUUUCUCUACGUGCAAUCACCUUAGGUGUUGUAUCUGUCUUUUAUGUGCAAAAUAGAUUGAAAUAGAUACGACAGGUUGACCGUGAAUUUAGACAUCAAGUAUGUGCAUUAUUUCGCUUUGCUUCAGUACAAUUUCAGUGGCCCUUGAAUUGGAAAUCUUUUCAUAUCCCAAGAAUUACGUAUAAAUGCUUAAUGAAAUUUUUGUCACAGAUAAAAUAGGAUUUU
rnacentral:lncRNA from 1 species